rnacentral:rRNA from 1 species
CUGGCGGCGUGCCUAAUACAUGCAAGUCGAGCGAAGCGAAGAGAGCUUGCUCUUGGAGCUUAGCGGCAAACGGGUGAGUAACACGUGGGCAACCUGCCUGACAGACUGGGAUAACUUCAGGAAACUGGAGCUAAUACCGGAUAGGAUCGCGAACCGCAUGGAACGCGAUGGAAAGUCUGAACGACACUGUCAGAUGGGCCCGCGGCGCAUUAGCUAGUUGGUGGGGUAAUGGCCUACCAAGGCAACGAUGCGUAGCCGACCUGAGAGGGUGACCGGCCACACUGGGACUGAGACGCGGCCCAGACUCCUACGGGAGGCAGCAGUAGGGAAUCUUCCACAAUGGGCGAAAGCCUGAUGGAAGCAACGCCGCGUGAGUGAUGAAGGUUUUCGGAUCGUAAAACUCUGUUGUUAGGGAAGAACACCCGGGAGAGGAUCCCGGUUUGACGGUACCUAACGAGGAAGCCCCGGCUAACUACGUGCCAGCAGCAGC